UCUAUUUCUUGUUCUAGUAUACCUACACGACAAGAGUUAAAAUUAAAAUGGAUCGAUGCUAUUGGAAAAGAAGUUUCCAAAUAUGCUUGUGUGUGCAAUCAACAUUUUAAUAAUAAUGAUAUCAUGUUUACUGGUAUAAUAAAUGGAAAUAUACGAAGACACUUGCACUCUGAAGCUGUUCCUACUUUGCAUCUAACGAAUGAAAAGGAGAUUGAAUAUGAUAAAACAAACAUAGAUUUUGUGAAACAAGUCUGUGCAGAUAAAAAGAAUCAACAUGAAAAUCAUAUAUAUCCUAAUCAUACAAGUGAAUUACAAGAAAUUGAAAAUAUAGCUGAAAAAUAUUAAGAAUAAAAUUAAAUGUGAUAUGUGUCGCCAAAGUUUAGAGAGUAAGGAAAAUAAUUCUUUAUUAUUAAAAAUAAAAAAUAGAGGAGGGUUAUUACUUCCUAGUCCACAAGUUAUUACAAUUUGUAAAGUUGCUGAACGUGUACUUAGACAAUAUAAAGAUCUAUUUACAGUUAAAAACUUAA